UAAAUAUGUGUCGUUAUGAGCUGCUUGCACAAGCAACCUAUACGGUCGUUUUCUAGGUGAGGACGGUCUGGAAUGUAACUUUUAAGAGAA